AUUGAACGCUGGCGGCAGGCCUAACACAUGCAAGUCGAGCGGAUGCACGGAGCUUGCUCCUGCAUUCAGCGGCGGACGGGUGAGUAAUGCCUAGGAAUCUGCCUGGUAGUGGGGGAUAACGUCCGGAAACGGGCGCUAAUACCGCAUACGUCCUGAGGGAGAAAGUGGGGGAUCUUCGGACCUCACGCUAUCAGAUGAGCCUAGGUCGGAUUAGCUAGUUGGUGGGGUAAAGGCCUACCAAGGCGACGAUCCGUAACUGGUCUGAGAGGCUGAUCAGACACACUGGAACUGAGACACGGUCCAGACUCCUACGGGAGGCAGCAGUGGGGAAUAUUGGACAAUGGGCGAAAGCCUGAUCCAGCCAUACCGCGUGUGUGAAGAAGGUCUUCGGAUUGUAAAGCACUUUAAGUUGGGAGGAAGGGCAGUAAGUUAAUACCUUGCUGUUUUGACGGUACCAAAAGAAUAAGCACCGGCUAACUUCGUG
rnacentral:rRNA from 1 species